UACGUAGGGGCCUAGCGUUGUCCGGAAUCAUUGGGCGUAAAGAGCGUGUAGGCGGCCAACUAAGUCCUGCGUGAAAUCUCGGGGCUCAACCCCGAGCGGUCGUGGGAAACUGGUUGGCUAGAGUGCGGGAGAGGAGAGUGGAAUUCCUGGUGUAGCGGUGAAAUGCGCAGAUAUCAGGAAGAACACCCGUGGCGAAGGCGGCUCUCUGGAACGCAACUGACGCUGAGACGCGAAAGCGUGGGGAGCAAACAGG
rnacentral:rRNA from 1 species